GGCAGUUCUCGGGUGACGCACCCAAGAAUUGGGCUCCCUCCUCUCUGGUUCCGGGUACGUCACCCGAGAACUGCA
rfam:Myotis lucifugus cont2.25154, whole genome shotgun sequence.